CCUACGGGAGGCAGCAGUGAGGAAUAUUGGUCAAUGGGCGGAAGCCUGAACCAGCCAAGUCGCGUGAGGGAUUAAGGCCCUGCGGGUCGUAAACCUCUUUUGCCGGGGAGCAGUGGUCCGGACGCGUCCGGACAGGUAGAGUACCCGGAGAAAAAGCAUCGGCUAACUCCGUGCCAGCAGCCGCGGUAAUACGGAGGAUGCGAGCGUUCUCGGGAUUGAUUGGGUUUAAAGGGUGCGUAGGCGGGCAUUUAAGCCGGCGGUCAAAUGUCGGGGCUCAACCCGGGCCGGCCGUCGGAACUGGGAGCCUUGAGUGGGCGAGAAGUGUGUGGAAUGCGUGGUGUAGCGGUGAAAUGCGUAGAUAUCACGAAGAACCCCGAUUGCGAAGGCAGCAUACCGGCGCCCUACUGACGCUGAGGCACGAAAGUGCGGGUAUCGAACAGGAUUAGAUACCCCAGUAGUC
rnacentral:rRNA from 1 species